rnacentral:rRNA from 1 species
AAUGAACGCUGGCGGCGUGGAUUAGGCAUGCAAGUCGAACGCGAAAGUUCCCUUCGGGGAGCGAGUAGAGUGGCGAAAGGGUGAGUAAUGCUUGGAUGACCUGCCCUCGAGACGGGGACAACAGUUCGAAAGGACUGCUAAUACCCGAUAGUCCGGUUUAGAUGCGUCUAGAUCGGUAAAUGGUGCUUCCGCUCGAGGAGGGGUUCAAGUCCUAUCAGCUUGUUGGUGAGGUAACGGCUCACCAAGGCGAUGACGGGUAGCCGGACUGAGAGGUUGGCCGGCCACAUGGGAACUGAGAUACGGGCCAGACUCCUACGGGAGGCAGCAGUGAGGAAUAUUGCGCAAUGGGCGAAAGCCUGACGCAGCGACGCCGCGUGGGGGAUGAAGGUUUUCGGAUUGUAAACCCCUUUCAUGAGGAAAGAUAAAGUGGGUAACCACUUAGACGGUACCUCAAGAGAAGCCACGGCUAACUUCGUG